GGGGGUGUUUCGGUUUCGACUGGCGGUAGAUCAGGCCAGAGGCUGCAAGCGGAGCGCCAACUCCUAAAACUAGCAAAACAUUUAACUGCCAAAAAAGAAGACGAAGUCUCCUUCAAUGCAGAAUACGCCCUCGCUGCCUAAUAGCGCGAUGACGUACAGGCCCAGUUGCUGCCGCUCUUAAGCACCGGUCACCUGUAAAAACAAGGGCUUACCUGGUUGAGUGCCUACGGCUUUCAGGGAAAAUUUAGCAGGCUACGAUGGAAGGACGUUUUGCAGAUGAACCAGCCUACCAUUGGAAAUUUGAUCAUCAGCUAAGCUUGUAGACGUCUUUGGGUGGCCCGUUAGGACGGGGGUUCGAAUCCCCCCACCUCCAAAA
rfam:Sphaerochaeta pleomorpha str. Grapes, complete genome.